rnacentral:rRNA from 1 species
GACGAACGCUGGCGGCGUGCUUAACACAUGCAAGUCGAGCGGUAAGGCCCUUUCGGGGGUACGACGAGCGGCGAACGGGUGAGUAACACGUGGGUGACCUGCCCUCAGCUCUGGGAUAAGCCUGGGAAACCGGGUCUAAUACUGGAUAUGACUCCAUGACGCAUGUUGUGGGGUGAAAGCCUUGUGCGGCUGAGGAUGGGCCCGCGGCCUAUCAGC